UCAGAUAGCCAGAUGAUCGCUGUUUAUACGACUUUUGUCGUGUAAAGGGAGGAAAGUCCGGGCUCCACGGAAAAAUGGUGCCAGUUAAUGGCUGGCAAGGGUAACCUUAGGGAAAGUGCCACAGAAAAUAAACCGCUUGUCGGAAUUUAUUGAUUUUCAAUAAAUUACAAGUCAGGGUGAAAUGGUGUGGUAAGAGCACACCGCGUUCUUGGUAACAAGAAUGGCAGGGUAAACCCCACCAGGAGCAAAACCUAAUAGGGAUAACGGGUUAUCGCAAGGUAAUCGAAGAAUUUCCGUCUUGUUAUCCGGGUUGGUUGCAUGAAAUACGAUGCGAAUCGUAUUAUAGAUGAAUGAUCAUCGCUUGUCUUACGACAUUCACAGAACCCGGCUUAUACGCUAUCUGACUUU
rfam:Commensalibacter intestini A911 74_3, whole genome shotgun sequence.